ACUGACAGGUAUUACAACAGCCCAGUGCUCUACUGUCCUACCCAGACUGACAGGUAUUACAGCCCAAUGCUCUACUGUCCUACCCAGACUGACAGGUAUUACAGCCCAAUGCUCUACUGUCCUACCCAGACUGACAGGUAUUACAGCCCAGUGCUCUACUGUCCUACCCAGACUGACAGGUAUUACAGCCCAGUGCUCUACUGUCCUACCCAGACUGACAGGUAUUACAACAGCCCAGUGCUCUACUGUCCUACCCAGACUGACAGGUAUUACAGCCCAGUGCUCUACUGUCCUACCCAGACUGACAGGUAUUACAGCCCAGUGCUCUACUGUCCUACCCAGACUGACAGGUAUUACAGCCCAGUGCUCUACUGUCCUACCCAGACUGACAGGUAUUACAACAGCCCAGUG